rnacentral:lncRNA from 1 species
AGGCAGCCAGUGAGGAGUCAUUGAGCUAAUUGCCUACGGCCGCAUCAUUCCCUGCUAAGAGGUUACAUUUUCAGGAAAGCCAAGGAGCUCACUGAAGAGGCUGUCAUGUAUGGGAAAGGAUCAAGAAAAUCUUGACACAGUGAGCUGGAAAGUUUAGACAUCAAUAAUAACAAUGUUAAGUAGUCCCAAGAAUUUCAUUCAGAUGAGAGCACACUCCUGACCUGGGCCAGGUUAGCAGGUUUUCCUAUGUACUCUAGCACAAUUGACUUCACCAGGAACACUGGAAAGUUCAAACAGGAGUUUUCUUGAUAUGGUUUUCAAAAAUAUUGGGAUGGAUAAUUUUUAAAACUUGUAUUACCAAAAAAUAAUAAUGGGC